GACGUAGGAUGCAAGCGUUGUCCGGAAUUAUUGGGCGUAAAGAGUUCGUAGGCGGUUGCCUAAGUCUGAUGUUAAUACUGGAGCUCAACUCCGGCAUGGCAUUGGAACUGGCGGCUAGAGUGUGUAGAGUCUCGAUCAGUGUAGCGUGAAUGCGUAGAUAUCUGAGACACGUGCGAAGCGCGAGACUGGGGGGCAUACUGACAGCUGAGACGAAAAAA
rnacentral:rRNA from 1 species